GACGAACGCUGGCGGCGUGCUUAACACAUGCAAGUCGAACGAAGUGGCGAACGGGUGAGUAACGCGUAAUCAACCUGCCCUUCAGAGGGGGACAACAGUUGGAAACGACUGCUAAUACCGCAUAGAUGUGCCCAGAUGGGAUUAGCUGGUAGGUGGGGUAACGGCUCACCUAGGCGACGAUCCCUAGCUGGUCUGAGAGGAUGACCAGCCACACUGGAACUGAGACACGGCCCAGACUCCUACGGGAGGCAGCAGUGGGGAAUCUUCCGCAAUGGACGAAAGUCUGACGGAGCAACGCCGCGUGAGUGAUGACGGCCUUCGGGUUGUAAAGCUCUGUUAAUCGGGACGCGGUACCGGAAUAGAAAGCCACGGCUAACUACGUGCCAGCAGCCGCGGUAAUAC
rnacentral:rRNA from 1 species